UAUAUAUAUCUACGUAUAGUACCCAAUAAUUGUAGAGCCAUUUGACUCACUAUUAGCGGCAAUAUAAAUAUUUUCCCCCACUGUUGCCAAAUUUAUACAGUAUACAUACCGUAAACUAUUUAAUAAAUGCCCAGGUAUCUAAUGGAUGUCGCUCUCUAUUCAACGUCUCUUAUCUAUGAUGUAGCUAUGAAGUCUUAGUAAUGCAGAGGCUCGAUCUAAACUGCAGGUUUUAGGUUAGUGCAGAUCAUAGUAUUAUAUUAACUAUGUGCAGAUUGAUGGUCGAGUUUUGGAGAGGAAUUUUGGACAUCUCACUAAUCAUAGUUAAUUAUGCACUAAUAUAAAACAUUUUCCAUGUUGAUAUACAGUUAUAUCAACACGAGUGGAAAUUGGGAAUACUCGAAUUGUGUGAAAACACGACGUCCAAAGGGCGGAGUGUUUUCACACAAUUUCGAGUAUUCACAAUUUCCACGAGUGUUGAUAUAACUGUAUAUCAAUACGGAAAAAAAUUAUAUUUGUUUUAUAAUAUAGCACAAAGAAACAUAAAGAAAUUUUCCGAUGUUUCCGUGUUGA